ACAAAGGAAAAAGGGGGUCGGUUCGUCAUCACCGUUCGUGAUAGGGAGCCCUCAUCACCACCGAUCCUCUAACCCGGCAUCGCCUACCGUCUUCACCGACCGUUAUCGCCGAGGACCCCUGCCGACCCUCAUCGACGCCAUUUGUGCUCCAAGACAACUUGUCCGAUCCGUUUAGAAAACGUCCGACGCUCCGAUCCCAAAUCGUAGAGAGAAAAAGUUGAAGUGGCAAAACAGAAACAAGAAGAAUGUAAGAGAAAAGCACUGGAGAUAGUCGAACAGAUGAUUGACAAUCCCAUUUCUGAAGAUUGGUUUCUAAAAGCUUGUAAAGAUAUUCAUAGAAAUGAUUAUGAAGAUAUUAUUGUUGAAAGGUUUAUUUCAAAAUUAUGUGGUUAUCCAUUAUGUUUAAACUCUGUGUCAAAUGUUCCAAGACAGAAAUAUGCUAUCUCAACUAAAACAAACAAAGUUUAUGAUAUCACAGAAAGAAAGUAUUUCUGUUCUGCUAAAUGUUUCAAGGAAUCUAAUUAUGUAAAAGAACAAUUAUCCACAACACCAUUAUGGCUAUUAAAGGAGGAAGACAAAGUCAAUAUAGUUUUAUUUCAAGAUGUAAAAUUUUUACUUUAAAUAUGUAUUAAAAAUUUAAUGAGUUCAACAUGCUUAGUCCCUAAAAAACUGAAAAAUCCAGUCCCGUUGGACCCUCCUUGCCUAUGCUCAUAAAUUCCUGAGGCGUUGUUUGUAAUAGAAGGUCGUCUCUGCAAUGGAAGACUGUGAUUCGACAUGACGAAAAUCAAAACAUUUUAGUCUUUUCUACGUAAUUUUUAAAGAUAAUUGUUCAACUAAUUUUUCGUUCUCCCAGUCGUCGUCCACCAAAUUGCUGGGAUUCCAUCUGGAAUGUAUGCUAUUCCUAAAACUAUUUCCUUAUUUGUAAGAUCUGGAAUAGGCUACUAUAAAGCAACAAUAACUAAGCAUCAUUAAAUUUACUCAUGAUUAAAUGUAUAUGAUGAUAGAAUUAGUUAUAAUUAAAUUAUCAUAACUAUCCUUAGAAACGGUUAUUAAAAAUCAGCUUCCAUCAUUAAUCUGAAAAAUGGCACCAUUAAAGUUACGUGCAUAUGUUUAAUCGUAGAUGAUUAUUCUGUUAUAACAUAAUUUAAUAAGUUGGAUUACAUAUCGUUUAAAUGUAGUUCCUUUUGAUAUAAUCUCAGUUUAUUUCUAAUAAAUCUAACAGUCACAGAAAAAAAGGCCGAAACAGGUAGAAACUAAUUAGAAACUUGUCCAAAUUUCUAAAUAUUAAUCAUGGCUAUUAUACUUAAAUUCAGUUUCAAAUGUAUGUAAUAUAAAUAUUUUUCAACAGAUCAUCUCAUUUUAACUUAAACAAAAUAUAUAUUACAUAUUAAUACUAGUGCUAGCAAAAACCGGAAAUUUUUAAAAUUGAUUAACUGGUUUUAAAAGUUGAGUUCGGUCGAAUUAAUGUUUUAUUAUUGCAGUUUAUUAAUAU